AAGUAUAGCAAACUGAAGGAGAUAGGCAUUUUAGCAGUUGAGGGCUGUUGGGUGGGAAUGCAAAAACUCUCUGCUAAGACUUUUUCAGGUGAACAUAACAGACUUGGCCAAGCUAGCAUCUUAGCUGAAGCAGAUUCUCCAGUGCUCUUCAGUAGGGUCUUAAAAUUUAAAGGUUUUGCUUUUUGGCCUUUACCUAGCUUUAAAAAAAAAAGCAAAAGAUGCUGGUGGUUGGCACUCCUGGCUUCCAGGACAGGGUUCAAAUCCCUGCGGCGUCUUUGCUUGACUUUUACUUCUGCCUUUCCGUUUUCCUCCUUUUUCUUCAGAUGAAGUUAGGGGAAGUGGAAGUAGCUUCAAACUAUACUAUACCUCUUGAUUGAAUUUGUCCUAAACUGGUUUGUGUUUGUAUUUUCACAGGAAUCUAGUGUAAUUACUUUGCCCUUUUAAUUUUCAGGUAUCUCUCAUGCAUCUGUUGUUUGGAGCAGUCUCACUAUUUUUAAAAAUAGAUGACAUAUUAAUAAAGGUUGAAAAACUUCAUUGGUGUGAUUCUUUUGUGCAUAAGCUGAACUUCUCUAUCCAUGAGUAGUCAGAAGAUGGGUGUCUUGUGGGGGUUCUUGUUCCUGUUUUAACUAGUUGUCUAAAAAGCACACUGCACUGUCAAGCCACCAAAUUUCUAGGGGGGCAGGGGACCCCUCUGGAGGGGGAGGUGGUCUAGUGGGUGAGUGACCCGAAAGACCCAGUAACAUACCCACAGAAAUAAGAAGGGACACUUUAAAGCAGCAGUUGGCCGUGAGUGUGGCUGGAUCUGGAGAGCUGGAGACCACGUGGUCUGGUAGGUUGUCGAUUCCCAAGCUGUAAAGUGAUCUUGUGGUCACCUGUCCUGUGGAAUGGCCAGUGUUCCGGCAGAUAGACCUUCAAUUGCAACUGAAGUGCCCUUUUUAAGUCCUACCCAUCUUUUAAGUCCUUGCUUCUCAAGCCCUGUUCCCUGAAAAGGAGAGC
rnacentral:lncRNA from 1 species